rnacentral:tRNA from 1 species
GAGAGUAUAGCUCAGUGGUAGAGCACAUGCUUAGCAUACACAAGGUCCUGGGUUCAAUCCUCAGUACCUCCA